rnacentral:lncRNA from 1 species
AGAGGAAGAAGGAUUGGUAAGCCGAUUCAUAAUUGUUGCUGAAUCUCUCUCUAUCCAUAAUUUUUGAUCUUCCAAUGUGUACAGCUAUCUGUAGACAAUAAUACGAAGCAACCACGAGUUCAGCAAACGCAAGGUAGGAAAGAAGCCCAGGCCGCUUUCAUUAGAUAACUGCUGCCAACAAGUUUGAGCACAAGAACAAGUGACUGCUACGCGUUCACAAUCCUAGGUAUAUGAUGGACAC